AAAAACAUUUAAAAACUUGGAUUUCAUUAAAUAGCAAACGAUUGAUUUUAUAGAUAUAUUUGCCAUUAAAAUCCUCUACCAAUCACUUGUUUGCUGUCUUUCCGAGUAUGUAAGUCUAAUUUGGUCGCCCCGAUCAAACGGCGGAUCGCUCAUGAUUGAGAAGGACUCUUCAGAAAACAGAAGAAUUUUGACUUCGGCCUUGCCCUUUUGGAAGAUACUGAAUAAAAGAAUAGAUGAUGGAUUUCCCGCAGAUCUUGUCUUCCGUUGGUAUUAGGUUCUCCCAGCGUCGACUCUGCUCCUUAGGACGACAUUGGACGAAUUAUUGGUCCGGGAUCUUGUCUUUUUCGGAUGGUUCGGCGCAAAAUUUUGAAGCUAUUUACAAUUUGUAACAUUGAGAACAAUGUGGUAAGUAAAAAAGGACACAUCCUACAAAAUAACGCCCAGACCAAGGAAGAUUGACGAAACCACGAAACGAUGUCGGAAGGACAAAACAGCUAGGAUAGGCUGACUAGAAAGUCGGGAAACGAUUGAACUACAAGUUCAUCACCCAGAAUACCAAAAAGAGAAUUCUCACGGUAGUUGAAGUAUAGUAGUAUUCAGCAGGUGAGUCUCACGUAACACGGCUAUCAACGGACAGAGACAGAUUUCAGGUUUCGUUUUACAGACAAUAUCCUAUCUGAAUAAAAAGAGAGUUAAGAUCGAAGAGAAAACUUAACAAUUCCAAAUUAAAAAAAUAAUAAAAAUAGGAAGGAACCAAACGUAAAUCACUAUUAAUUCUUUAGAUUCGACUAGCAAGUCGGGUUAUAAUUUAUUAGAAAUCUUUUCUAUUACACCGUAAAUGCAGCAAAUAUUAAG